rfam:Candidatus Thrbacteria bacterium RIFCSPLOWO2_02_FTLL_53_10 rifcsplowo2_02_scaffold_11636, whole genome shotgun sequence.
GCAGGGUUAGCUCAGCUGGAUAGAGCGCGUGGCUUCGGACCACGAGGUCGGGGGUUCAAGUCCUCCACCCUGCG